UUCACUACUGUAAGUCGCUCUGGAUAAGAGCGUCUGCUAAAUGACAAAAAAAAAAAAAUGUAAAUGUAUAUAUCGCCACCCUGUGGAGCACUGCUAAUAUUGGGUUGCGACCGACACAACGGGUACCAAUUUGGGUCCGGAGGCAAAACCAGUUGAGAAGCACUGGUAUACAAUAGAGGAAGAAGGAGAAGUGACAAUCAGAAGAGAAGCCGUUCAACCAAACAGUACUGGGAAGAUGGAUUUACAUCAAAUCGUGUUGACGUUUACUUCCACCAAGUUGAAUUAUGACAAGAAUACACAAUGUAUGGACAUGACUAUAUGAUUUGAUGUUUGGUACGGAAAAUGUCAAUAAAAUAUUCAUGACAAA